rnacentral:lncRNA from 1 species
GCCAGAACCAGGCAGCCCUGGGGAAGCCUGCACCAGUGCUGGGACGGCCCUUCCGAGUUGUGUCUUGCUGGAGAGUCCCAGGGCCAGCACAAAUCAUGAAAUACACCUGGUGAAACUCCUGAGUCACUGGAGGGCUUGAAGUUUCAGGAAGAGGAAGAGGAG